AUUGAACGCUGGCGGCAUGCUUUACACAUGCAAGUCGAACGGCAGCGCGGGCUUCGGCCUGGCGGCGAGUGGCGAACGGGUGAGUAAUGCAUCGGAACGUGCCCAGUAGUGGGGGAUAGCCCGGCGAAAGCCGGAUUAAUACCGCAUACGACCUGAGGGUGAAAGCGGGGGACCGAACGGCCUCGCGCUAUUGGAGCGGCCGAUGUCGGAUUAGCUAGUUGGUGGGGUAAAGGCUUACCAAGGCGACGAUCCGUAGCUGGUCUGAGAGGACGACCAGCCACACUGGGACUGAGACACGGCCCAGACUCCUACGGGAGGCAGCAGUGGGGAAUUUUGGACAAUGGGGGCAACCCUGAUCCAGCCAUGCCGCGUGCGGGAAGAAGGCCUUCGGGUUGUAAACCGCUUUUGUUCGGGAAGAAAUCCUCUGGGCUAAUACCCCGGGGGGAUGACGGUACCGGAAGAAUAAGCACCGGCUAACUACGUG
rnacentral:rRNA from 1 species